GUUGAACGCUGGCGGCAGGCCUAACACAUGCAAGUCGAGCGAGCGGCGGACGGGUGAGUAAUUUCUUGGAAACUGCCUGAUGGAGGGGGAUAACUACUGGAAACGGUAGCUAAUACCGCAUACCAUCAGAUGUGCCCAGAUGGGAUUAGCUAGUGGGGGGGGUAACGGCUCACCUAGGCGACGAUCCCUAGCUGGUCUGAGAGGAGGACCGGCCAAACUGGAACUGAGACACGGCCCAGACUCCUACGGGAGGCAGCGGUGGGUAAGAUUGCACAAGGGGAGAAAGCCGGACGCAGCCAGGCCGCGUGUAUGAAGAAGGCCUUCGGGUCGUAAAGUACUUUCAGCGGGGAGGCGUUACCUGCAGAAGAAGCAACGGCUAACUCCGUGCCAGCAGCCGCGGUAAUAC
rnacentral:rRNA from 1 species